rnacentral:rRNA from 1 species
AUGAAGGAUCCAGGAGUAGUUGAUGUUAUCUUAAACAUCAAGCUGUUGAGAGAUGAGAAUGGUGGGAUCACACUGCUUCAGUCUCACUAUGUGGAAAAGGUUUUGAGUCGUUUUGGGUAUAGCGACUGCACGCCUUCUCCAACUCCAUAUGAUGCUAGUGUGUUGCUUCGAAAGAAUCGACGGAUCGCUAGAGAUCAACUGAGGUAUUCUCAGAUUAUUGGCUCACUUAUGUAUUUGGCGAGUGCCACGAGGCCUGACAUCUCUUUUGCUGUGAGCAAGCUGAGUCGGUUUGUGUCAAAACCGGGAGAUGAUCAUUGGCAUGCGCUUGAGAGAGUUAUGCGCUACUUGAAGGGCACCGCGAGCUAUGGGAUUCACUACACCGGGUAUCCAAGGGUACUGGAGGGUUAUAGUGACUCGAACUGGAUAUCUGAUGCUGAUGAGAUUAAGGCCACAAGUGGUUAUGUUUUUACACUUGGUGGUGGCGCUGUUUCCUGGAAGUCUUGCAAGCAGACCAUCUUAACGAGGUCAACUAUGGAAGCAGAACUCACAGCAUUCGACACUGCCACUGUUGAAGCAGAGUGGCUUCGUGAGCUAUUGAUGGACUUAUCUAUGGUUGAAAAACCAAUACCCCCUAUCCUGAUGAACUGUGAUAAUCAAACUGUGAUCGUCAAAAUAAACAGUUCUAAGGACAAUAUGAAGUCCUCAAGGCAUGUGAAGAGGAGAUUAAAAUCUGUCAGGAAACUGAGAAACUCCGGAGUUGUUACGCUGGAUUAUAUCCAAACGUCGAAAAACUUGGCAGAUCCCUUUACAAAGGGUCUAUCACGUAAUGUGAUAGAUAAUGCAUCGAUGGAGAUGGGUUUGAGACCCACCGCAUGA